UACGAAGGGGGCUAGCGUUGUUCGGAAUUACUGGGCGUAAAGCGUGCGCAGGCGGCUCAUCAAGUCAGAGGUGAAAGCCCAGGGCUCAACCCUGGAACUGCCUUUGAAACUGUUGGGCUUGAGUACGGGAGAGGUGAGUGGAAUUCCGAGUGUAGAGGUGAAAUUCGUAGAUAUUCGGAAGAACAUCAGUGGCGAAGGCGACUCACUGGGCCAUUACUGACACUGAGGUGCGAAAGCGUGGGUAGCAAACAGG
rnacentral:rRNA from 1 species